rnacentral:rRNA from 1 species
CCUACGGGUGGCAGCAGUAGGGAAUCUUGCUCAAUGGGGGAAACCCUGAAGCAGCAACGCCGCGUGGAGGAUGAAGGUUUUAGGAUUGUAAACUCCUUUUGUUAGAGAAGAUUAUGACGGUAUGUAACGAAUAAGCACCGGCUAACGACUUGCCAGCAGCCGAGGUAAUACGGAGGGUGAAAGCGUUACUCGGAAUCAAUGGGCGUAAAGAGUGCGUAGGCGGGGUAAUAAGUCAGAUGUGAAAGCCUGUAGCUUAACUACAGAACUGCAUUUGAAACUGGUACUCUGGAGUGUGGGAGAGGAAGGUGGAACUCUUGGUGUAGGGGUAAAAUGCGUAGAGAUAAAGAGGAAUACUAGUUGCGAAAGCGACCUGCUGGAACAUUACUGACGCUGAGGCACGAAAGCGUGGGGAGCAAACAGGAUUAGAUACCCGUGUAGUC